GAAGAAAAGGUUGUCAUGUUCUUGCUAGUGGUGGGACAUGUACUGAAAAUGAGGUCGCUUCGAGGCACAUACAAGCGGUCUUUGGGAACUAUAAGUACUCACUUUUCCGCGGUCUUAAAUGCCAUUCUAUCUAUGCAUGGGGAGUUCAUUAAGCUUCCAGAUGAUAAUGUUCAACCUCCCAAUGAUUACAAAUAGAAGUGGUUUGGUGAUGCACUUGGAGCACUAGAUGUCUGUCAUGUAGAUGUUUUAGUUCUAGUGGUUGCCCAAGGGAGGUACAUGAAUAGAAAGCAAGAUAUCACUACUAACAUGCUUGCUGUGGUGGACUGGAACAUGAAAUUUCUGUAUGUCUUACCUGGCUGGGAGGGUUCCGCUUCCGACUCUAGAGUCCUUCGGAGAACUAAUCGCCAAGAUGCAUUUGUUGUACCUUAUGGUAUGGUUUUUUCUCUUGGCCUUUUGUUCUCUCUAAUUGUGUAUGUCACAACCAACCUAACUCACUUGUUUACCAAUAGGAAGAUAUUACUUGGCUGA
rnacentral:rRNA from 1 species